rnacentral:lncRNA from 1 species
UAGAAAAGAGGGUAGAGGAGCUACCUUCAAACACAUUCAGUGGAAUGUAAAUCUCACAUACUCCUAUUUCCAUUCGCAUUUCUUCUAAGUAGUUUUUUUUGUUUAAAUCGUAAUAAGCACAUCAAAAACAUAGACUUAUUUCUCAAGCACUUUCAAUGUUCUACUCAAUUUGGCUUAGACUCUGUUUUCUGUUCUCUUUAUCCAGACUCCAAGCGGAAGAAGUAGUCCUAAUUUAGAAUAUAUUAGAAUCAUGGUAGCUGUAAAAGAACUGUGACAGAAACAAGAGCUGUCUCUUAAAACCUAUGCUCAGACGUGUGGCAAAUCUUUCCAAUCAAUUAUAUUGGAGUAAUGAAUGGUGAGUGUGUCCUCACUGGAAUACAAGGAUGCCUUUUCCUAUUGAUAUGAAUUUUACAACAUUGAAGAUAUGAAUGCAUUACAGGAUAAUAGACAAAUAUUGAAGAAACUAAUGUAUUAUAACAUAGAAAAAAGUUAACUUUUAGAAUGAGUGGGUGAAUUAUUUCUCUUAAAUCUGCAAUAGUUAUAUAAACAAAAAACUGAAAGGGAUAAGAAUGUAGUUAUGCAAGCUAUUUGAUGUUAUACUACUAGUAGUUAAACAGAGCUAUUGCUUGAAUGUUUGGAUACCCUCCAAAAUUCAUGUGAAAGUGUAAUCCCCAGUGAAAUAGUAUUAAGAGUUGGUACCUUUAGGAAGUGAUUCAGUCAGAAGAUUUCUUCCCUUGUGAAUGGGAUUAAGGACAUUAUAAAACGGGCAUUAUACAAUGGUAGGUCCCUUUCUGCCUUUCUGUCCCUUCACCAGGAGAGGACACUUGGAGAAAACACUGUCUAUGAGGAAUGGUCCAUGUCCAGUGAAUGCCAGUACCUUGAUCUUGGACUUCCUGGACUCCAGAACUACUUCCUGCAAAUGA